ACUGGGGACGUCUGCCAGGACUGCACACAAAUAUUUGAACUCCUUGCCGACAUGGUUUCCAAUGCAGACCUCCAGGUGAGUACAAUAGUGGACUAAGCAGCAAGCACACUCCAGAGAACCAAGAUCAGCUCGCUGAUAUUAUCAUUGAUUCUGUGCCAGUUUCAUAAGUCAAUAUUCAAAUACACACACAGUGCAAUCUAAAGUUCUUGAUAAGAUUUGUGGCUGAUUAAAUAAGAAACACCUUAAACUCCACCCGUUCUUUUCUUAGCUGAAUUUUAUUCUUCACAUUCGGAGAUUCAAAUAACUCAUUUUCAGCGGUGCAUUCGGUGAAAUUCAACCACAUAAACUAAGGUCCUCUUUUCUUUUUCUUUAGAGCCACUUCCCUUUUUUUCUAAGCCUUAAAAAAAUUGAAGUGAAAUUGCUAUGGCAGUUUUAGUUUCUCACCUGACCUCAAAGAUCCUCUUUUCCAUGAGCCGCGGGUCUAUGGGGAGCGCAGAGACAACUUUCGAUGAUUUGUAUCAAACAUUUUAAUCACAAAUCAUUAUAGAAAGACAUUUCACCACUCGCCUUAUCGUCUAAUUCACUGAACAGUCGGUUGCGAUUGCACAGCAGUGAUCAGAAAUACAGUUCUCUGAAAAAGAAGCUUCAGUUCUGUGAAUAUCCUGUAAAUGAGAAUGGUGCAUCGUACCACGACACGGAUUAAAAUAAGAGUGGCUUUAAUCACAUGGACAAAUACAUAAAAUAAACCAAUAAAUAGCUCAUUCCAUCUCCACUCUAAAUCAUGGGAUCUAAGACUUUGGCCCAAUUCCUGAAACUUAAGGAGAAUUCUCUUUAUUUAAAAAAAAAAAGUUAUCAGUAUUUGCACUGAAAUAGUUGCAGGCUUCCGAAAAUCAAAAAACAUGUUGAGAUGUAUCAAUAACAUAACAUAUUACAGCUUUGUCCUGAGGUGUGCAGGACACACAACACCUAACCUGCCGCUUCUUCUCAGAAAAAAAUGAUGGAUGGCCUUGAUCAUCUGUGCAAGCUCCUGCCCGGACCGGCGACUAAAGCGUGCCAAGAAGAAGUGGAGAAGAUGCUCCCCUUGGCCCUCAGCUUCAUUGCUGGCAUCGUAAAACCAGCGGAGGUCUGCAGAAUCAUCGGACUAUGUGGCUCCCCAGACAAGCAGGAGAUGCUGCUCAGCUAUUUUGUCAGAGAGGCCCUACAGGUUUCUGGGAGAAGUGAAAAUGUCGCUGAAAUGCAGCCCACAACACAGUGCUCCUUCUGUGUUCUUGUGAUCAAGACUUUGGAGGACCUGCUCCCUAAGGAAAGGACUGAGGACGCCUUGAUCUCGCUCCUGGAGGAGAUUUGUCACAUCUUGCCCGCCUCCUACCGAGAUCAGUGCCAGACCGUGAUCGGCAAAUUCAGCAAGCCGGUGCUGGAUGCAAUCCUGAGCUACGCCACCCCAGAGGCCGUCUGCACUCUGAUGGGCCUGUGCAACGGGAAGGGGGCUCCUCGCGUAGGUCGGUCAGCCUUCCGCUUCUUCUUCUUCUUCUUCCAAGAAUUUACUUUAUCCUGCCUCCUGUUGAGAAAGCGAUGA
ensembl:lncRNA